ensembl:snoRNA small nucleolar RNA ACA64
UCAGACUGAAAGUGAGCUCAGAUGUCACCCUGGUCUGAGGUCAGGUAACUGAGCCUACAGUAUGUUGGUGCAUUUAGCUUAUCACCUGCCCACCUGUGACAGCAUGAUAAAACCCAUGUUCCUACAAAA